AGCAGCCGCGGCAAUUCCAGCUCCAAUAGCGUAUAUUAAAGUUGCUGCAGUUAAAAAGCUCGUAGUUGAAUUUCGGGACCAUCAUGUCGGUCGUGCCUCGGUACGUACUGGCAUUGUUGGUUUCUACCUUCUGACGAACCAUGAUGUCAUUAAUUUGGUGUUAUGGGAAAUCAGGACUGUUACUUUGAAAAAAUUGAGUGUUUAAAGCAGGCAUUAGCUUGAAUACAUUAGCAUGGAAUAAUGAAAUAGGACGUUCGAACCUAUUUUGUUGGUUUUUAGGAUCAACGUAAUGAUUAAUAGGGAUAGUUGGGGCAUUAGUAUUCAAUUGUCAGAGGUGAAAUUCUUGGAUUUAUUGAAGUCUAACUACUGCGAAAGCAUUUGCCAAGGAUGUUUUCAUUAAU
rnacentral:rRNA from 1 species